AAGUCGUAACAAGGUUUUCGUAGGUGAACCUGCGGAAGGAUCAUUAGUGAAUUCUUGGGAGUCCCUCUUAACCAGAGAAGGCCCGCUCCACUAUUUUUCAAACCCUAGUGCAUUUGUCCUUUUUACCACACCCUCUAUGUAAUUGAACAAGUCCAAUGAAUCUUUGAUAAAUGAAGAAAA
rnacentral:misc_RNA from 1 species